GGCAGAGAGGGUGAAAGUGUGGCUUAGAAGUAUAGUGCCUGCCUAGCAUGCAGGAGGCUGUGGGUUCAAUUCCCACCACUGCCA